ACGGAAGGCAGCAGUGGGGAAUAUUGCACAAUGGGGGAAACCCUGAUGCAGCAACGCCGCGUGAGUGACGAAGUAUUUCGGUAUGUAAAACUCUAUCAGCAGGGAAGAAGAUGACGGUACCUGACUAAGAAGCACCGGCUAAAUACGUGCCAGCAGCCGCGGUAAUACGUAUGGUGCAAGCGUUAUCCGGAUUUACUGGGUGUAAAGGGAGCGCAGGCGGCCAUGCAAGCCAGAGGUGAAAACCCGGGGCUCAACCCCGUGAUUGCCUUUGAAACUGUUUGGCUUGAGUACUGGAGGGGCAGGCGGAAUUCCUGGUGUAGCGGUGAAAUGCGUAGAUAUCAGGAGGAACAUCGGUGGCGAAGGCGGCCUGCUGGACGGAAACUGACGCUGAGGCUCGAAAGCGUGGGGAGCAAACAGGAUUAGAUACCCUGGUA
rnacentral:rRNA from 1 species